GAGUUUGAUCGUGGCUCAGAUUGAACGCUGGCGGCAUGCUUUACACAUGCAAGUCGAACGGGAGUGGGGGCAACCUCACUUCAGUGGCGGACGGGUGAGUAAUACAUCGGAACGUAUCCUGUAGUGGGGGACAACCCAGCGAAAGUUGGGCUAAUACCGCAUACGCUCUACGGAGGAAAGUGGGGGACCCGUGAGGGCCUCAUGCUAGAGGGGCGCCGAUGUCCGAUUAGCUAGUUGGUGGGUAAAGGCCUACCAAGGCGACGAUCGGUAGCUGGUCUGAGAGGAUGAUCAGCCACACUGGGACUGAGACACGGCCCAGACUCCUACGGGAGCAGCAGUGGGGAAUUUUGGACAAUGGGGGCAACCCUGAUCCAGCCAUGCCGCGUGC
rnacentral:rRNA from 1 species